CUCGAGCCAUUUCCUUGUUUCCACUUGCUAAACCUUAAAAAUCGAGUCUAGUUUGUAGUCUUGGGAUGCCGGAAUUAUUGAGGAGCAAAAAAAGGUUUGAGUUUGAGUUGAGAAAAGGGAGAAAGGUUAGUUUUCAGGGCAAUAUGACCAAGGUGCACUUCUGGAAGGCUACAGAAGACAUCCUUUGGAUUAUGCAGCUGGAACUUUGAGGUAAGAUACUUAAGAUAUUUCUAAGCAACUUUGUAGAAGGAAGUUUUGUCAAUUAAGUUAUGGAUUUUGAGAUAUUAACCUCCAAAAUUGGAAGGAAGAUUUUGGUCAAAAAACCAAGCUUUUGGGCAUUACACAAAGUGGUUGAGCAUCAGAGUGGGGUUGUGCAUGAGAGGCAUGAGGUGUCAGGUGUCACGAUCAUAUUUUUCCAAGGCAUGUUUGCCCACGGUCGUAUGUUCCGAAUACCCCCAGUUUAUCUUAUCUUUAUGUCUUGUAUCUAGUUUAAGUAGUUGCUUUUCGUUUUAAGUCAUAAAGCUUGAGUGUGACGUUUUGACAUUUUCAUAUACAAGCCUACCAGAGUUGAAAAUAUUCAAAAUGUAGUAUAGCGAAGGCAUACAAGUUGAAUCCCCGCCCAAACAUUAAUUGUAAUCUUUGCAAGCAACAUUUUUUCCUUGCAACUGACAAUCUUUAAUGCAUAUUGUAACGUCGAUUUCAAUGUAUUUCUUUCUUUCUUACAUUUUAUAAACAAAUUUCCUGAAAACACAAAGGAAUGUUACAUCAUACGUCUACUUUGUCUGUGAUUUUCGAAUUUUGAUCGGCUGACUUGUUCAUUGAGUUAGAACAAGUGCCGCACAAUCGUCCGUCUCAAGAUUGAAACGCUACGAUUAUGAUAAGUGGUUUCAGAGCGAAAUUGGUUGAAUGACAGUUGAGACAGGAAGAUGUCAACUGCAAUGGGUAAGACCCAUGAUGAACGAUUGGUGGGGAUUGAAGAGAAAAUGCUCCACCUGGUGGAAGUUCUUGAUUCCAUCCGAUUUCUUGAGAUGCGACUUAAGAAAGUCGAUGUUAUUGAUGUGGUGUCCAUUCGUUUGAAUGGAUUACCCAUACAAGAUUUGUUGGCUAGAGUUGACACGUUAGGGUCACAAAUCAUAAGAACUGGAAAUGUUACCUACAAGCGUGGGGACAGUUUGUCGGGCUCUGCUGCCCGAAUGGAGGAACGAGUUAUUAAGCUAGAUAAUUUUCAUAAGAAUAUCAUGGAAGUGAUAAAUGGCAUGACAAAGAAUUUUUGAGCUACCCUCGAUGUCGUUAGAAAUGAAAUCGUAGAGGUGAACACGAAGGUGAAUCUUACGAUUCGAGUGUUGGCAAAUCAUGUACCGACGGGAGGAAUAAUUACAGUUGGCAAAAUAAAGAUCCCUGAACCCAAGCCCUUCUGUGGGGCAAGAGAUGCAAAGGCAUUAGAAAAUUUUAUCUUUGAUAUAAAGUAAUACUUCAAGGUCACAAAUAUCAUUACAGAGGAAGCCAGAGUAACGUCGGCAACCAUGCAUUUGUCGGAAGAUGCGAAGUUAUGGUGGAGGUCCCAGCAUGUCGAUAUUCAAGAAGGAUGUUGCAUAAUUGACACCUGGGACAGUUUGAAGAAAGAACUUCAAUCGCAGUUUUUCCCCGAGAAUGUUGAAAUUUUGGCUCGAUGAAAACUGCAUGAGUUAGAACACACUGAAACUAUUCGAGAGUAUGUGAAACAAUUCGCGGAGCUGAUGUUAGACAUAUCUGAUAUGACCGAAAAGGACAAAAUCUUUGGUUUUGUUGAAGGGCUGAAGCCAUGGGCAAGGACUAAGUUAUAUGAGCAGAGGGUUCAAGACCUCGCAUCAGCCUAUGCAACAGCUAGGCGUUUGUUUGAUCUGUCUAGUGACGCUCAAGAUACGAGACAUCAUCAAAGCUUUUCACCUGGAAGAAACAUAAAAGUUUAUAUAGAAAAAGUUUGCUUUCCCUAAAGGAGAAGGUGGAUUGUUUACUUCCUUGUUUUUUUUAUUAUGAACUUGAAGUUUAUUGAAUGAUAAUCAAAUCACCAAGUACUGUCUCUGUUGGGUUGUUGAUGUUUAAAAGAGUGGAGUCCUAACAGUAUACCACACCGAUCUUAGUUACAGAUUAGCAAACAUAAUCUAAAAUAAUAACAUAAACAUUGAAAUAAUCAAAUUUAUCAUAAUCCAUAAACUUAAACAUUUAAGUCAUUUUAUACAUUUAAGUCUAUUUUAGAUUUAAGUAUAUUUUAUGUACUCUAUCCUCAAACUAAUAUUCAUACAUUUAAGUCUAUUUUAGAUUUAAGUCUAUUUUAUGUACUCUAUCCUCAAACUAAUAUUCAUUUCUACUAGUUGUGUAUUCUAUCCUCAAACUAAUAUUCAUUUCGACUAGUGGAUAUUCCAUCCUCAAGUUUAAUAUUCAUUUCUACUAGUUGAACCUUCAACAAAUUUUAAUAGGAGGGAGUGGUUAAAAUCGUCGUUAAGUUAUUCAUAUUUUUACCCAUGGCAUUGGUUAUCAUCAGCAUCAUUCUCAUUCGAAAAUAAUAUAUAAAUGUUUCAGAGUAAAUUUAACUGGGAAUCUCAAAUGGAAAUUGAUCGGUCAAACAAAUAAAUGGGAUUUACAGAAUUCUGCUCUUUAACAAAGUUUCUGUUGCUACUGAAAGCUAGAAUACAUCGCCAAAAAGAAAGAAAAAUGAAAAAGAAAUUGCUAUGUUCAAUCAUUACGUUGAAAACUACGAGGAAAACAAACCGACUCAUACAGGUGCCUUCCUGCCCAUUUUUCUAACUCAACUAAAGUUUCUAUCUUCGUCGUACUGCAGAAGAACCUGGUCCGCGCUGUACUGCAGCAGCUGAUUGCUGUGGUUGUGCUUGUCCUGCUGCUUGGCCACUAACCUGUUCUUCAGCCAUGUUCAUUGCUUGUGUUAUGGCAUUCAUAACAAUCAAUCCAAGUGGUAUCAG
rnacentral:lncRNA from 1 species